rnacentral:tRNA from 1 species
GUGGAUAUAGCUCAGUCGGUUAGAGCGCUGGAUUGUGGUUCCAGAGGUCGUGGGUUCGAUUCCCAUUAUUCACC